UAAUUGUUUUUACUCCUCUGGGCACUGAGAUGUAGGUUGUUUCUUCUUCUUCUUCUUCUUCUUCUUCCUUCUUUCUUCUUCUUCUUCUUCCUUCUUCCUUCUUCUUCUUCUUCCUUCUUCUUCUUCCUUCUUCUUCUUCUUCUUCCUUCUUCUUCUUCUUCUUCCUUCUUCUUCUUCUUCCUUCUUCUUCUUCUUCUUCUUCUUCCUUCUUCUUCUUCUUCUUCCUUCUUCUUCUUCUUCUUCCUUCUUCCUCUUCUUCUUCUUCUUCUUCUUCUUCUUCUUCUUUCUUCUUCUUCUUUCUUCUUCUUUCUUCUUCAACUUCUCUAGAAUUGAUUUAUUAAGGGAGGGCAAUGAGAGAUUAAGUAAGUUGGGGCAGUUAGGUGGCUCAGGGCUAGAGAACCAAGAGGUUCUAGGUUCAAAUUUGACCUCAGAGUCUUUCCAACAAGUCUGUGUAACCCUAGGCAAGUCAUUUAACCUAGUUGCCUAAUCCUUUUAUCACUCUUCUUCCUUGGAACAGAUAUUUAGUAUAAAUUCUAAGAUAGAGGGUAAGGGUUCAAAAAUUGAUUGACAUUUAUGUCAGAAACAGAAUCUGAACCCAGAUUUUAUUGACUGAUGUCAGCUCUCUGGCUAUUAUGCUACAGUUAGCUGCCUCUAAGUCUACACAGAAUUAACACAAGGCAAUUUUAUUGCGGUUCAGUUGUUUUUAGUCAUGAUGGACUCUUUGUGAUCCCAUUUGGAAUUUUCUUGGCAAAGAUACUGAUAUGGUUUGCCAUUUCCUUCUCUAGCUUAUUUUACAGAUGAGUAAACUGAAGUAAAAAAAGGUUAAAUGUCUUGUUUAGAGUCAUAUAGCUAGUAAGGGUCUGAGGCUAGAUUUGAACUCAGAUCUUCCUGACUCCAGGCUCAGCCCUCUAUCUACUGCACCAACUCACUGCCCCUAUUUUUGAAAAUUACCUAAAAGAAUAUCAGAAAGCAUACUGGGGUUGGUAUAAUUUAUUUUGUUUAUACUUUGGGGAUUGGUUAGUCAUUGGCUAUUUCUACAAACAAGUCUAUGUUGGGAACAGGAGGAGACAGGAAGUAAGUAAGAAGAGCCAGGGCCAGUUUACAAUCACUGUCUUUGUCAUAAUGUUUCAAAUUCCUAACAAACAACUAUUCUCUGAACUUCAUUUCUCACCCCACCAUUGAAAACUCCCUGUCU
ensembl:lncRNA